AAAUAUAACUUCAUGCCCAUGGAGUCCACAAAAAUUAAGGUGAGGAGAGCAAAGGAGAAGAAAUGACCAAGGAUACAGGAGAAGGAGUGAGAGACAGCCGCCUUCUGGAAGCCAGUGAAGGAGACGUGUGAAGGAGAACAUGAGCUGUGUCGAAGACAGCCUAUGGGCUGAGUAAGACAAUAAAACCUUGACCACUGGGUUGGUAAACACCUGUGAAAGCCUUCAGCUGUCUCAGUUCAGCAGAGGGACAAGAAGUUGAUUGGAGUUGGUUCAAGAGAGGAGAAAAGUAAAGGAUGUGGAGACGGUAAGUGUAAUUAUCACUUCUGAGAUUUGCUGCAAAGAGAAGCAAGGUCAGAGGUAGAAGGGACUGUGGCAUUGGGGGAGGGCUCUUUCAAGAUGGAAAAUAUUAAAUGUGGUUGUGCAGAAAAGAAAUGUUAAAGCAGGAGCAAGGGGAGGGAUUUGCAGAGAAAGUUCCUAGAGCAGAUUAUAGGGGGUGGGUGCCGUGCCCAAGAAGGGCUGCCACAGAGGGCAGACUGAGCAGGAAUGGUCUAAGAGGGGGCACUACAGGCUGCAGAGAGGCGGUCCGGGAGAUGGGGUGCUGAGAACACAUGGGAGAUCUCUGGCUGCUUCAGUUUUCCCAAGGAAAUACCUAGCAAGAUCAUCAGAUGAGAACUAUUGAGAAGGAGGUUAGGGCCUUUGGAGGAAAGUUGUAGAACAAUGGCCUAAUGUAAUAGGAGAACAAAGGCAGUCGUUUAGUUGCUAAGUCAUGUCCGACUGUUCCCAACUCCACAGACUAUAGCCAGCCAGGCUCCUCUGUCCACAGGAUUUCCCAGGCAAGAAUACUGGGUGGAUUGCCAUUUCCUUCUCCUGGGAAUCUUCCUGACCCAGAGACUAAACUCAGCUUUCCUGCACUGACAGGCAGAUUCUUUACUGCUGAGCCACCAGGGAAGCUCAAGGCAGGAGAGAGAAGUAAUGUGUUUCCUGGCAAUGCUAAGAUUCCACUUGAGAUUAGUGGUCAUUCAUUUAUUUUUUUAUUUAAAGUUGUCACAAUUGUAUGCUUUUCUCCAACCUUGGUCUGCUACCUAGAUGAGAAUAUUCACAGCAAGAUUUAAGGAAAGACUGAGGGGCUUCUGGGACAGCACUAGGGUCAAUCAGAGUUCCCUGUGAGGUUAAGUGAGUUCUUGGUGCCUUAGACAUUUGGGGGAAAUGAAUGGGAAGCAUAAGAUAUGGUUUUCAGAGAAUGAGACUCUAAGUUAAGCUUAUGAAGAGUGACAGAGAUGUUGGUAAUAAGUUCUAGAGAAUGAUCAUGAAAGUGGGUAUUGAGGAAGGAUGGAAAAAUAGUUGAUGAUCCAGGAAAGGAGGGUCCAUUUCUCUUCUGUGAUGCGGAGGGCAGUGCCGAGGCUGCAGAGUGGAGUCUGAGAGUAAGAGUGGGAUGAAGCUGUGGAAUCCUUUGGCUGCCGCACUCACCACGGGAGAACUCACAGAGAAUGCUGCUGUGGGAGCUGGUACCACUCCGCGGCUUUCCUCUUCUGCCGUGUCGAUGGCAUAUUCAUACACAUGGAAUCCUGUGGACAGCUCCUGGCAGCUAGGACAGGAGUAAAUCCAUGUAUGCAAACUUUGGUGCCUUAAAACCUCUCCCUGCUUCACUUUCCUCCUCUGAAAUGUGAAGAUGGAGUACCCGCACCUGUGCAGAUGAGGCCUCUCGGGUGGGAGACAAAGCUGAGGAUGGAGAAAGAAACACCUGGUCGUGAGCCAGAGGUCAGCUAGAGCUGCUGCCAUUGGUCUCCACCCCAGAACUUGCAGCGGCCCAAGACGUUUCAUUCAGACCUGCACGUCCAAGCUAUAAUGAAGACAAGGAGCUGAACCAGGAGCAGAAGCAGGUUAAGCUGAGCCCCCACCUCCCACCCGGUGAAGCACCCUCCCUCAGAACCCGUCCAUCAGGAAGCAGCAUCACCUAAGAACAUAAAUGCCUGCACUGAAGCUUAGCAUCCAGUCCAGCUGUUCCAACAGACCAAUUGGAAGUACAAGAAUCAAAAAUAGGUUUGCAGAGAGAUGAUCUCUUCUCCCAUAAUAAAU
ensembl:lncRNA